rnacentral:rRNA from 1 species
AGCAGCCGCGGUAAUUCCAGCUCCAAUAGCGUAUAUUAAAGUUGUUGCAGUUAAAAAGCUCGUAGUUGAACUUCGGGGUUUACCCAUUGGUCAGGCUUAAUUGUCUGCACUGGUGAGAUGAAUCUCUACCUUCUGAGGAACUUUCAUGCCAUUUAUUUGGUGUGAUGGGAAAUCAGGACUGUUACUUUGAAAAAAUUAGAGUGUUUAAAGCAGGCUAACGUCUGAAUACAUUAGCAUGGAAUAAUGAAAUAGGACGGACUGAUUCUAUUUCGUUGGUUUCUAGGAUCACCGUAAUGAUUAAUAGGGAUAGUUGGGGGCAUUAGUAUUCAAUUGUCAGAGGUGAAAUUCUUGGAUUUAUUGAAGACUAACUACUGCGAAAGCAUUUGCCAAGGAUGUUUUCAUUAAUCAAGAACGAAAGUUAGGGGAUCGAAGACGAUCAGAUACCGUCGUAGUCUUAACCAUAAACUAUGCCGACUAGGGAUCGGACGAAGUUAAUUUUAUAAUGACGCG